CCUACGGGGGACAGCAGUGGGGAAUAAUUCACAAUGGAGGAAACUCUGAUGCUGCGACGCCGCGUGAGUGAAUAAGUAAUUUGUGAUGUAAAGCCCUAUCAGCAGGGAAGCAAGUGACAAUGCCUGAAACACAAGCUCCGGCUAAAUCCGUCCCAGCAGCCGCGGUAAUACGUAUGGAGCAAGCGCUAGCCGGAUUUACUGGGUGUAGAGCGAAAGUAGGCGGUAGCGCAAGUACGAAGUGAAAACCCAAAGCUCAACCCGGGGAAUGCUUUAGAACCUGCGCAGCCAGAGUGAAGGAGAGGCAAGCGGAAUUCUGAGUGGAGCAGUGAAAUGCGUAGAUAUUAGGAGGAACACCAGUGGCGAAGGCGGCUUGCUGGACUUUAACUGACACUGAGGCUCGAAAGCGUGGGGAGCAAACGGGAUUAGAUACCCGUGUAGUC
rnacentral:rRNA from 1 species